rnacentral:lncRNA from 1 species
CUUUGCUUGAGGCUGCUGCAUUUAGGGUUCGAAUCCUGAAAUAUGGAUUUGACUCUUAGGUAAGUACAAGUGUACAAGCAGUCUUCCACCCUGUACCCUUGGAAGCAUAACUUGCGAUUUACCUUCCUCACGAUGCUCCAGGGUAGAGGCGAUGGGGGACCCUUAAAGUUAGGGUUCAACCUUUUUUUUUUCUUUUGGAAAACAAUUGAUUAACCCUCGAAUUGAUAGAAUAACUUGAUGCAUAGCUAUCUCGUUUAUUGAUUUACUUACAAAGAAACAUAUAUUAAUUUAUUAAAAUUUUAUUCGUUAUUAGACUAUAACAAAUAAAAUACGGUGUCGUCACUCCACUCACUCCCAAAUCCAAAUAUUGGAUCUGUUUCCCGCUGAUUGGACUUCUCAUGUUAGCAACAGAAUAUUUGACAGAACGUCAUUAGGAAAACUAUCGACUAAAAAUUAGCUCCAAAUAUAUUCCUAAUUCGAAUCCACAAGAAUAAGAAUUUUUUAGUGCGUGCUGGGUUAAGCAUAAAAAGUCAAUUAUCCAAUACGUUUAUUAACAAAAAUUACUUGAAUUUAACGUGCUUGUGUUCUUAGCCAAAAAGGCUUAAACGAUAGAUAGGUUGUGGCUUCCACGCAAUGCGAUUCUAAAUAGAGAUGGCAAAAAAAUCCGUUUAACCCGAUACCCGUGGGAUCUCGUCCCGAAUGGUUAAGGGAAUACCCGUCUAAUCGGGUACGUGGAACGUGAAAAUAUCUAGUGGAGUAGGGGUGGAGAAGGGUGCCCCGACUCAUACCCGCCCCGUUGCCAUCCUAAUUCUAAAGCAUCCUAUGGUGGAAGUGUCAUCGAGGGGGAAUAAAAUUCGACUUCCCACUAUGGUGGGCAAAACAUUUUGGAUCAAAUCAAUCACUUCGAGCCCUUCAUCUGGAAACUAAAAAUUGAAACAAAAACUCG